rnacentral:rRNA from 1 species
GAUGAACGCUAGCGAUAGGUUUAACACAUGCAAGUCGAGGGGCAGCACAUGAGUGGCAACACGAUGGUGGCGACCGGCGCACGGGUGAGUAACACGUAUGCAACCUGCCCAUAACUGGGGGAUAACCCGUCGAAAGGCGGACUAAUACCGCAUGACAACGAUGAUCCGCAUGGUGAUUCGUUUAAAGAUUUAUCGGUUAUGGAUGGGCAUGCGUUCCAUUAGGUAGUUGGCAGGGUAACGGCCUACCAAGCCUACGAUGGAUAGGGGUUCUGAGAGGAAGGUCCCCCACACUGGUACUGAGACACGGACCAGACUCCUACGGGAGGCAGCAGUGAGGAAUAUUGGUCAAUGGGCGAGAGCCUGAACCAGCCAAAUCGCGUGAAGGAUGAAGGUAUUAUGUGUUGUAAACUUCUUUUGUCGGGGAAUAAAGUGCGGGACGUGUCCCGUUUUGUAUGUACCCGAAGAAUAAGGAUCGGCUAACUCCGUGCCAGCAGCCGCCGUAAAAC